rnacentral:sRNA from 1 species
CUUAGUCUCUAGAUGUAAAAACCGGGAAAGCCAUAUUAGAAAAAAUAUUUAGAUUUCAAAUUAAUAUGUAGUGCUUUGUUAACAGAGCAUUUAAUGAUCCCUUUGAAUCCUGUUUAUGAGCAAUCAUAUAUUCAUAGGGACCAAUUGAGAUACGCUUUAAGUUAAAAAGGGGAGAUAAUUUUUUUAAUUAAGUUGUACAUUUUUCUUUUUUCUGAUGCAACAUCAAGGAAAUACCAGAAAUAGCCCACCACCCUACGGGUUUCAUCUCUCACCAGAAGAAAUGAGGAGACAGCGGCUUCACAGAUUCGAUAGCCAGUGAGGUGGCAUCUUGGGAAGACAUGGCCUAUUUGUGUAAUUAUUGCCCAUUUGGCUCAUUCCCCAAGCCCCUAAUUCAUUUUAAUUCAUUUUAAACAAAAGCAGAGUACACCGGUAUUGCUCCAGAUCGCUCACAUCACCUGGGACAGUCCCAUGG